CCUGGUUCCACCCAUCAGCUCCGGUAAAACACGAAGCAGGGAGACUUGAGCUGUGCUGGCAGAGCCAUGCAGGGGUGCGCUGGGUACUGUGUGAGAGCGCAUGUGUGCUUGCUUGUGUGCCUGUGUGCGUGGUGCGUGCGUGUGUGUACGUGUGUAAGGGCGGAACUGUUAUUCUUCCAGUCACCCAGCGCACCCAGUCUUUGCCAGCCCCAGCAGCAUUUCUGACGACUUCAUUGCACCGCCUGGUUGCAGACCCCGCCAGACCGGUUCUGAGGUGCAGAACUGGAGAAAGACCUGAACCGGAAAGGCCCUUCUCACAGGGAAGUUUACUCAAUCCAGGAUUGAUGGCUAGUACCUAAAAUUCAAGCGCUUGGCAGGUAGAGGCAGAAGGAUCUGGAGUCCAAGGACAUUUUCAGCUAUAUGAAAGAAAAACUGAAAACCCAACAUCACUUUUUGGAAUCUGAG
rnacentral:lncRNA from 1 species